UCACCGGGAGUAAAUCUGCUCG
rnacentral:miRNA from 1 species